AAACAACAACAAAUUAGUACUAGACACCAUCUUUCUAAUUACUGUCAUUAUAUUGACAAUAAUGUUAUUCCUAGUGGCUUAUGUAUUAAAGCACUGCCUCAAACUUACCGGCAACCUGUCUGAUACAUUUCUUCGUAGGUGGGAUCAAACCCUAUUUCACUGUUCCCUCCGUCUACUCAUACUCCUUAGAGAACACUGUAUUGAACAUCUUAAAAACCUAACACGUCAAUUUGACUCCUUGUCUCAGGCUUGCAAAACAGAUCUAACAGCAAGCGAAUUCGAGAACAUCCAAGAGCGCCUGAGAGAUAUAACCAACACUAAGACCGCCACUCUCCGCUCCAGACAAAGAUGCAAAUUUCAACGGGAUGGUACUUCUUUCCCAUCCAUUAGUACAAAAGAAAAAAAGAAUAAUAAAACCAAAAACAGACAUUUUAGACGUAGACCUCAAGUCCUCAGCAACAAGAUCAAUACCGUUGUUAAUCUUUCCAGCAAACAACUUACUGAGGACGAAACGUCAUUACUAUCCAGAGGCCUAAACUUUUGUCCAGUCCCAGGUCCAGUGAAUGAUACUAAAUUGUCUGAGGAACUGGAUUAUUUUGCCAGGAGCCUCCGCAUCAAGGAACAUUUUGCAUCGAAAGAGGACGAUAGCACCACCUCAGAUAGUGACUCUGAUGACUCCAAUGAAUAUAGAUUUAGAAAGAAAAGCAACUGGGUCCCUAAACCAAGCAAAAAACACCACCUUAGAAUCAUUUAUAGACAAUGUUAAAACGGAUAUACUUACAAAUGUAAAAAUAAACAAUCAGACCUAUGAUAAUUUAACACCUGAUGAACGUGUGGCUUUGACAAAUUUGAGAGAUAAUGACGACAUUGUUAUUAAACCUGCAGACAAAGGGAGUGCAGUUGUCGUCAUGGACAAAUCUAACUAUGUCCCAAGAGGCCAUUCGCCAAUUAGAUGAUGACCGGUUUUACAAAAAACUUAAUUCGGACCCCACCCUCCAAUUCAGCGAGGAAAUAACAGAAUGUUUAAAGGAAAUGUGUGACAAUAACAUCAUUGAUAUAGAUACUUUCAAAUAAUUUAAAACCUGAAAAUUCAAAAACCUGGGCGAUUCUACCUGCUCCCUAAAAUUCAUAAACCUGGUAACCCAGGUAGACCAAUCGUCUCAGCUAAUGGUCAUCCAACCGAAAAAAUAUCCGAAUUCGUUGAUUACUAUCUUCGACCACAUGUAGAAAACUUGCCAUCUUUUAUUAAAGAUUCUACAGAUUACUUACUAAAGAUGCAGGAUUUAAACCCUCUACCUGCCAAUACUACUCUUGUCACUAUGGAUGUCACCUCUCUCUAUACGAAUAUUCCCCAUGCGGAUGGUAUUGAAGCAUGUAGAGAAGUUUGGGACUCUCGAUCUCUUAAAAUUCCACCUACUGAUUGCUUAGUUGAAAUGCUUACUAUGGUCUUGAAAAAGAACAACUUCACAUUCCAAGGAGAACACUAUUUACAGACAAAUGGCACUGCUAUGGGUACAAAAAUGGCUCCAUCUUAUGCCAAUAUAUUCAUGGGUAAAUUUGAAAAGCAACUGCUGGAGUGCUCCAUCGAAAAACCGCUUUCCUGGUAUCGAUUUAUUGAUGACGUUGACAUGAAAUGGGACAAGGGAGACCAAAAAUUACAAACUUUUAUAAACAAAUGCUAACAAUCAACACCCUACCAUCAAAUUCACCCAUGAAACAUCUAAUUCCACCAUAAACUUCCUUGAUACAUCUAGCACCCUCUCUGUAGGUAUAAUAAACACAGAUAUAUACUCUAAACCUACAGAUACUCAUCAAUACUUGUCGCCUGAAAGUUGCCAUCCUCCACACUGCACGAAGAGCAUUCCAUAUACAGCCAAGCUCUCAGAAUAAGGCGAAUCUGCUCCUCUGAAGACACUGCAAAACAACGUCUGGGGCAGCUUAAAGGACAUUUAAAAAGAAGGGGAUAUAAACACAAAAACAUCAAAAAUAGUUUUCGAAAAGCGGAAUCCAUCCCAGAAGCAGUCUGCUAACUUACAAAGAUAAACAGAAAAGUAAAAGAAUCCCAUGUGUGCUCACCUACCAUCCAUGCCUGAGAAAUAGUUUCAAGACCAUUCGUGAUCAUUGGACAGCAAUCGAGAAACAUUCGAAGUUAUCCAAAAUCUUUCCUGAGCCUCCCAUGAUUGCCUUCAAACAACCUAACAGCCUGAGAAAUAUACUUGUCCGUGCUGACCUUUCCAAACCUAACCAUACUGUAGGUAAUUGUCAGCCUUGUGGGGACAAGCGCUGCAAAUGUUGCAACCAAUUGCAGCAUUCAUCAACAUUUCACAGUAAGACCACAGAAAAGACAUACAAGAUCUUUUUGCAAUGUCAACUGCAAAAGCUCAAAACGUGAUUUACGUUCUUGAGUGUCCUAGAUGUGGUCUCCAAUAUGUUGGUGAAUCUAUGCAGCCAUUUCACAAACGCCUCAAUGGCCACACAGGAGUGACCUCACAAAAAAAACCGUAUAUUCCUGUCAGCCAACAUUUCAGGUUACCAGAUCACAAAUCUGAAAGAUUUUGAUCACAUGAAGAUCCUUGUGAUCGAACAGGAUUGUACAUGGCAAAAUAGGCAAAGAGAAAAUCGGGAGAGGUUUUGGAUAAAAACACUGGGUGUCCUCCAUCCAGAUGGAAUCAAUAGAAAGAAAUAAUUAAAUUUACAGUCUAGUGUUUAUAUUAUUAUAUUCAGGAUUUUGGAUUAAAAUCAAUCGACCAAAACUUACCUGUAUUAUUAGUGAUCUAUGUUUACACCUUAUACAUUAUAUCUCAUUAUUGUUAAAACUUUUGUCACCGAAGAAGGCCAUUUGUUGAGCCGAAAUAUUUGCAAUUAUUGUAUAAUUUAUAUCAUCUGUUCAGUUUUUCCAUCUUUGUGCAAUGAUAUUCAACACUUUUUAGUGUUUUGUUUUUCCAUCUAUUUAUCGGUAUUGUUACACAAUCUUUCAGACUCAUAUAAUUUUUUCCUGUUUGUGUAGUAUUGUCAAUUUUGAUGAUCCAAUACCUAUUAAGUUUACUGGUUGGUAGAUUCUUAUAGACUCUAUAUUAUUUUUGGGCUACCUGCAUUGUGUUUUUCAUGAUCCCAGCAGACUUAUAUUCCAACUGUGUACAACAUGAAUUAUGAUCAAUAUUUCAAACAACUAAGGAUCACUAAACAACAACAAAUUAGUACUAGACACCAUCUUUCUAAUUACUGUCAUUAUAUUGACAAUAAUGUUAUUCCCAGUGGCUUAUGUAUUAAAGCACUGCCUCAAACUACCGGCAACCUGUCUGAUACAUUUCUUCGUAGGUGGGAUCAAACCCUAUUUCACUGUUCCCUCCGUCUACUCAUACUCCUUAGAGAACACUGUAUUGAACAUCUUAAAAACCUAACACUUCAAUUUGACUCCUUGUCUCAGGCUUGCAAAAACAGAUCUAACAGCAAGCGAAUUCGAGAACAUCCAAGAGCGCCUGAGAGAUAUAACCAACACUAAGACCGCCACUCUCCGCUCCAGACAAAGAUGCAAAUUUCAACGGGAUGGUACUUCUUUCCCAUCCAUUAGUACAAAAGAAAAAAAGAAUAAUAAAACCAAAAACAGACAUUUUAGACGUAGACCUCAAGUCCUCAGCAACAAGAUCAAUACCGUUGUUAAUCUUUCCAGCAAACAACUUACUGAGGACGAAACGUCAUUACUAUCCAGAGGCCUAAACUUUUGUCCAGUCCCAGGUCCAGUGAAUGAUACUAAAUUGUCUGAGGAACUGGAUUAUUUUGCCAGGAGCCUCCGCAUCAAGGAACAUUUUGCAUCGAAAGAGGACGAUAGCACCACCUCAGAUAGUGACUCUGAUGACUCCAACGAAUAUAGAUUUAGAAAGAAAAGCAACUGGGUCCCUAAACCAAGCAAAAACAC
rnacentral:lncRNA from 1 species